rnacentral:rRNA from 1 species
GACGAACGCUGGCGGCGUGCUUAAUACAUGCAAGUCGAACGGAAAGGCCCCUUUGGUGUUACUCGUGUGGCGACCGGGUGAGUAAGACUUACGUAACCUGCCCUUGCCUUCGGGAUAACUUCAGGAUACUGGGGCUAAUACCGAUAAGGCAUCCUUGCUGCAUGCAGGGGGUUGGAGAGCUUCGGCGGUUUUGGAUGGACUCGCGGCUUAUCAGCUUGUUUGUGGGGUAGUGGCUUACCAAGGCGUUGACGGGUAGCCGGCCUGAGAGGGCGACCGGCCCCCUAGGGACUGAGGGACGGCGCAGAAUGGUACCGGAGGCAGCAGUGGGGAGUAUUGCACAAUGGGGCGGAGCCUGAUGAGACAGCGCUCCGUGCGGAAUGACGGGCUUCUGGUGGAAAACCGCGUUGAGCAGGGGAGGCGCAUGUGGUGACGGUACCUGCAGAGGAAGCAACGGCUAACUACGUG